AACGAACGCUGGCGGCAGGCUUAACACAUGCAAGUCGAGCGCCCCGCCAGGGGAGCGGCAGACUUGUGAGUAACGCGUGGGAACGUACCUUUUGGUUCGGAACAACUCCGGGAAACUGGAGCUAAUACCGGAUAAGCCCUAACGUGGAAAGAUUUAUCGCCUAAAGAUCGGCCCGCGUCUGAUUAGCUAGUUGGUGAGGUAACGGCUCACCAAUGCGACGAUCAGUAGCUGGUGUGAGAGGAUGAUCAGCCACACUGGGACUGAGACACGGCCCAGACUCCUACGGGAGGCAGCCGUGGGGAAUAUUGGACAAUGGGCGCAAGCCUGAUCCAGCCAUGCCGCGUGAGUGAUGAAGGCCUUAGGGUUGUAAAGCUCUUUUGUCCGGGAAGAUAAUGACUGUACCGGAAGAAUAAGCCCCGGCUAACUUCGUG
rnacentral:rRNA from 1 species